GAGGAAUUGGAAUAAAUAUGAAAAUGUAUUAUUAUCCCCGAGUAUAUAACUACUUAUACGAAUGAUUGGAUAUUUUUGGGCAAUGAAUAAGCGAUAUUGCAUACUUUUUAUAAAUCAAUGAAAAUAUAUAUAUCUUUAACAAUUUCAAAAUAAUUCAUGCACCCAAAGACCUAAUUGCCUAACACACUUGGUAACCAUUCAUCUGAUCUAUAUCUUUUAAAUGUUUGGUUACCUCCGUUCCAUUCUAUGCUUAAUCUAUCAGUGGUAGGUAGCUUUGCAUAGGAAUUACAUCCGAAACGGUAGGACAGGAUAGAGUAUCCUUUCCCGAUAGUUUUCAGAUCAGAAAGCAUGCAAUGGUGAUACAAAUGCGUUAGUCGAUUAUAGGUCUGUAGUCAAAUUUUAGCUUAAAUUAUACACCCAUACUACUAUAGCAUAUUCCAGAUUAGUGAUCUAUGUAUUACAAGCUAAAGACAUUAAAAAUCAAGACAUUUUGUCUUUUCGUUAAGACUGAAAAUUAUUAGUCUACGAGUAUCUUCUAUGCAAAAAUUGCUUUAUACGUUCAACUUGCGUUAAUCGUCAAAUUUUUCAAUCGUCACUUUUUCGAAGGGAUAAAUGUCAAACAAAAAUAUAGAGAAACGAGUGUUACAAGGUAGUAAAUAGACUAAAGUUAAAGUCGGUUAUGAAAUUAUGAAAUACAAAAAAAUCCCAUGAAAUUCAAUACAGGGUUGACACUAGUAUUAUUAAGAUUGGUCCAUUAGAAUUUAGAACCAAUGAACAAAGUCCGGUUCACCCAAUGGAUCAUUGAAAACAUGAAUCAGUUGUGUAAACAGUCAAUAUGAAUAGGUUUAAUGACACCUUCUAGACCAAUUGUAAUAAUAGUAGUGUCAAAAUACUUCUCGCAAGAUUAAAUUUUCGAUCAUGCUCAUUUUAUAAGCUGUGCAAAAACGUGGAACAUAGUUAUUGCAUUCUUUUUGGGACACCCUGUAAAUUGAUUCAUUGUCUAUGUUGGUCUAUAAGUUUCAUUGGUUUAGGUUGAUGCAAAAAUAUGGUCGAUCAUUGACACAUGUGCAUUGGUUUUGCGCUGAUCAAUGUACUGAUCAUCUUUUGCAAAAACCUAGACAAAACAUACAUAAGCAGUUUUAUUGUAUUCGGCCUAUCGAGAUUUCAAAACGACAUGACAACGUUAAUUAUGAGUGGCCC